GAGAGGGGGUGACUAGUGACCGAGUGAGGGAGGGAGUGGGUGACUAGUGACAGAGUGAGGAAGGGGGUGGCACAGUGAUAGUCACCCCAUUCCUCCCUCUGUCACUAAUCACCACCUCCCUCACUCUCACUAGUCACACCCUCCCUCUCUCUGUCACUAGUCACACCCUUACUCACUGUCACUAGUCACACCCUUACUCACUGUCACUAGUCACACCCUCCCUCUC